rnacentral:sRNA from 1 species
UAUGUAUGGCAUCUUCAGUAAAGAAGUUACGAGUAAAAACGUUGACGUUGAAUACCGCUUCCUUGCCGAACCUUAUUAGUGCCUCAUUCAGUAACGUCUCUGGUUUCUCUGUAGGUCUGCCUUCGGGCAAAAUAAACACUCUAAGGAAUUUGCAAAAUGGCAAAGAUUAAAGGUCAGGUUAAGUGGUUCAACGAGUCUAAAGGUUUUGGUUUUAUUACUCCUGCUGACGGUAGCAAAGAUGUGUUCGUACACUUCUCCGCUAUCCAGGGCAACGGUUUCAAAACCCUGGCUGAAGGCCAAAGCGUUGAGUUCGAAAUUCAGGACGGCCAGAAAGGCCCGGCUGCUGUCAACGUAACCGCU